rnacentral:rRNA from 1 species
UACGUAGGGGGCUAGCGUUGUCCGGAAUCAUUGGGCGUAAAGCGCGCGUAGGCGGCCCGGUAAGUCGGGUGUGAAAUUUCGGAGCUUAACUCCGAAACUGCAUUCGAUACUGCGGUGCUUGAGGACUGGAGAGGAGACUGGAAUUCAUGGUGUAGCAGUGAAAUGCGUAGAGAUCAUGAGGAAGACCAGUGGCGAAGGCGGGUCUCUGGACAGUUCCUGACACUGAGGCACGAAGGCCAGGGGAGCAAACGGG